rnacentral:rRNA from 1 species
UUGACCUCUGACCUCAAAUCAGGUAGGAUUACCCGCUGAACUUAAGCAUAUCAUUAACCC